rnacentral:rRNA from 1 species
GCGGUGAAUACGUUCUCGAGUCUUGUACUCACCGCCCGUCAUUGCAGGGAAGCCGGGAAUACCCGAACUCCGACUUUUGUCGGAGGAAGGUAAGCUCGGUGACAAAGCAAAAGUCGUAACAAGGCACGGCUAGCGGAAGCUG